UCAUGGUUGCUGCAAAAGAUAACC
rnacentral:siRNA from 1 species